AAUGACCAGCCCAACUGCUUUUAAAAGCAGAACUCAAAAUUCCAAUUUUAAAAGGUCCAUCAAGGAAGAUACAUUUUGACACACCCUAAUGGUCA